rnacentral:rRNA from 1 species
CCCUUAGAUGUUCUGGGCCGCACGCGUGCUACACUGAACGGUUCAAUGGGUAAGGUAGUGCGAAAGCAUGACCUAAUCUCGAAAUCCGUUCGUGCUGGGGAUAGAAGCUUGCAAUUAUCCUUCUUGAACGAGGAAUACCUUGUAAGCGUGAGUCAUCAUCUCACGCUGAAUACGUCCCUGCCCUUUGUACACACCGCCCGUCGCUCCUACCGAUUGAGUGUUCCGGUGAGGCUUUGGGAGAAUGGCCUCAACACGAGUUUAUCGUGUUUUGCCGUUUGAACUUAGUCAAACCUUAUCACUUAGAGGAAGGAGAAGUCGUAACA